AGUUCCUGGAGGAAACCAUGGAAAAUGGGAUGUAGGACUACAAGGAAUAACUGGCUGGAGUUGUGAAGAUCUGGCCAAGAAACUGAUGGACAUGGAAGACAACUCGGCGUGACUCUCUUUUCACACGUUCUUAGCUUAUUCUUUAUUGGAAACUAUCUAGUUUUUACCUCUCUUACAGCAUUUUAGAUAUGGACUCUAUUUGCAACUAUUUGGCUUAUGUCAAAUCUAUUUUUCCUUCAGCAGUCUACAUCUUCUUUCCUUCCUCCCUUAUGAAGUAUGGCCUUCCUUUCUGAUCUCCUAAAUUAGAGGCUGUUCCUUUGGUGCCAGCUGUGCAUCUUAUUCUCUAUUUCGUGACUAUGCCGAGGUGCGAUGUUACAACACAUACAUGCAUGCUCAUAAGCAGGUCUUAUAAAUUAGUUAGCGGUGUUGACAGCAGUGAGGUUGAAAGGGACGUUCGUUUUUCAAACAAAAGGAAACGUUGGUUUAGAUUCGUAGUAAAGGUCCCGGACUAAAGACGUCAUCUAGAAAGAGUACAGGUCUUAACAUGUGAGUUUCGUGGUUCAAUGCUAAAGAAAUUACAAACUAUUU